rnacentral:lncRNA from 7 species
AUGGAACAGCACCCAGAAGCAGGGUUGGGAAGUGCUAUGGAUGAGCCUGCUGUUUACUCAUCAUCUGAUGCUAUGCGUUGUCCUCCCAAGCUACCAGGAGAGCCUCUUAAUGGUGUGCCAGGGAGAAGAAGGGGAGUUACUGCAUUCAUUCAUGGGGUGUCAGAGCCCUCUCUCCCAGCCCUGCUGGGGCAGCAGCCUGGUGAGCAAUGCCUCUGUUCAUCUCCAUCCUUGUGGCACAGUAAGGGAGAGGAUUUCAUCCCUGCUGUCACCUCAGCACCAUCCACCCCUGCCUGAGGCUUGGAAAUUAAAAUAAUAAACAAAGCAACUAGAGCUGUGUGCAGAGGCUAAUGUACCAUAAUGCUCCAAAACCCAGGCAGCCACCACCUCAUGCUGAGCAGAAAGGACGUUUGAAGAAUGCAUCUUCCUCUGGCAGCGAUUAUUUCAACAUUACUUUUAUUUUUUUUGCCACUUCAAAUAAUGCAUUCAGUUGUCCCCAGCUCAUCAUUUUCUUAUAGAGAAGAGUAGAGGGCAGUGGGGGAUGGCAGAACAAAUCCACUUAGAGAUCCCACUUUUCCAACUCACGAACUACUGUGGUUAUAAAAGUGAAGCCUUGCACACAAUGGCUCCGUUGUGGAGAAAAAGUUUUUCCUUCAAGAGGGCCAGGUCUCCAAGACAUGCAGGAUAUGGUUAGAGACUCUUCUUAAUGAAAUCACUCUUAAAAGGCAGGAAGGCCUCUGAGAAAUCUUCAUUUUGAGCAACUCAGAGAUGAGGUCCAGGUUGUAUGUCUGGCUCAGAGGAAAGAAAAGGGGAUGGAAACAGCGUGAGUCUCAUUUUGAGGAUGGAAAAUAAAGGAGGGAAGAGGAUGAAUGGGUCAUCUGCUGUCUGGUGGAGGUGGGUUCCUGCCCAUCUGCAUGGCUGGGUGAAUUGCCACCUGAUGACUCCAAAUGGAACCCAUAACCCAACCCCAGUGGGAGCAGCUUUCGGCUGGACCUUGACAUCCCCUGGCCAGCUCCCUGCUGUGAGCGCACUGCAUGCUGGAAUCUCCACAGGGAAACAAGAGCAUAGGACUCCAUCAUGCCCAUUGAACCAGACAAAAUCAUCAGCAACAACAUCAGGGGAAAUAAAAUCAAACGGAUGGUAAUGCUCCAAAAGGACAAGCAGUCCUCCUUCUUUACCUCUUUCCUUUGGACAGCAUGCAGUGAAGGCACUGGGGAGGAAGGUUGAUGGGGAGUUAUCUGUGGCAACACGAAUGUUGUAAUUCCAGAGGCACGGCGCAUCUGCACAGAUGGGAAAAUUACCAUUGUGGUACUUGGGUGGUAUGACAAGUAACUUUUCUUUGGCACCCCGAAAAACAGCUCAACUGUGGGAGGAAUGUGUCAGUUGCAAUUUUGUAACUUAAUGAAAUAAAUCAACCAGAUCGAAAGAGGAGCUGGAGAUGUUCCCACACAGCCUCGUGGGAACGCAAAGGCCACAUGAAGGCAGCUGCUGGCAAGACGGGAGCUCAUCUGGAGAACUCUGGGGCCACCCUUGGGGCGAUGACAACAAAUUCCCCAAGUGAGGAAGCUGCUUUGAACUUUCUCCAGCCUUUGUGGAUGAGAUUUCAGGAACACAUGGCUGCUGGGUUCCAAAAGGGCCCCUUCUCACUCAGCUCAGCAGUAGUCCUGGCGGGGAUUCUGCUUCUCCCAGCCUGCUGGGGGUCUGCCUGAAGACAUCACAAAGGGCUGACAGCAGAUGCAUGUCUUCACCUCACCAAGACCAGAGGAUGUUGCUGGUGCUCCCAUGAGCCCAAACAGGCAGAGCAGCAAAGAGGGAAUCAUAGAAUAUCCUGAGCUGGAAGAGACCCAUAAGGAUCAAUGAGUUCAACUCAGUGGAGUAAUGCUUGGCAAACCCCACACUGCUCCUCAUAAGUCCAGUGAGAAAUGAGCAGUGAGUAAACCAGGAGCAUCUUCUCAUGGCAGGAGCCCACAAAGGCUCAUUCUUUGGCUGUGGAUAUGUAUCAUUGCUUGCCCAAAAUAACCACCGAAGGCCCACAGUACAAGGUUCUCUAGAGCUUUGCAGCAAGAAAUUGAUUUCCAUAGUCGCCCUCAUUAAUUUUCAUGGCACCCACAGUGUGUUUUUAGAACAAGCAGAAUUAUUAAUGUUCAAAGUUACUUGAGCACUGUUGGGAACACAAGGCCCCCAAAGAUGGGCUGGGGGAAGGGAAAGACAAUAUGUGGAUCCAUUCUUUAGACUGAGAUCAUCCAGUCCAACAUCAACCCAUC